rnacentral:tRNA from 1 species
UUCAUUAGAUGACUGAAAAGCAAGUAAUGGUCUCUUAAACCAAAACAUAGUAAAUUAGCAAAUACUUCUAAUGA